GAUGAACGCUGGCGGCGUGCCUAAUACAUGCAAGUCGAACGCAUUGAGAGAAGUGCUUGCACUUUUCAAUUUGAGUGGCGAACGGGUGAGUAACACGUGGGCAACCUACCUGAUAGCGGGGGAUAACGAGUGGAAACAUUCGCUAAUACCGCAUAACAAUAGAGAAGGCAUCUUCUUUAUUUAAAAGGCGCUUUCAAGCGUAACUAUCAGAUGGGCCCGCGGUGCAUUAGUUAGUUGGUGGGGUGAAGGCCUACCAAGAAGAUGAUGCAUAGCCGAGUUGAGAGACUGAUCGGCCACAUUGGGACUGAGACACGGACCAAACUCCUACGGGAGGCUGCAGUAGGGAAUCUUCCACAAUGGACGAAAGUCUGAUGGAGCAACGCCGCGUGUGUGAUGAAGGCUUUCGGGUCGUAAAGCACUGUUGUAUGGGAAGAAAUGCUAGGCUAGGAAAUGAGCUUAGUUUGACGGUACCAUACCAGAAAGGGACGGCUAAAUACGUGCCAGCAGCCGCGGUAA
rnacentral:rRNA from 1 species